rnacentral:other from 1 species
GUGCGCCUGCUGGGUGCGUUGCCGAUUAAUGUUUUCAAUCGAUAAUUUUACUUUACGGGAGCUGGAUCUGGUCAGCCGCUGUCAAGCCCGCUACGACGGGAAGGCAAACGCUGGCGGCGAAGCGCCCACUUGCGAGCGCAAGGUUGGAAAACGUGUCGGUGACGGCCUUUGUGGGUCUACA